UACAGAGGGGGCAAGCGUUGUUCGGAAUUACUGGGCGUAAAGGGCGCGUAGGCGGCCUUCUAAGUCGAACGUGAAAUCCCCGGGCUCAACCCGGGAACUGCGUCCGAUACUGGAAGGCUUGAAUCCGGGAGAGGGAUGCGGAAUUCCAGGUGUAGCGGUGAAAUGCGUAGAUAUCUGGAGGAACACCGAUGGCGAAGGCAGCCCCCUGGGCUAACACUGACGCUCAGGCACGAAAGCGUGGGGAGCAAACAGG
rnacentral:rRNA from 1 species